AUUCGAUGAGCGAAUUUUGUGACAUCAUUUGCAUAUCAAAAUGGUCUUAGAAUAUUACCAAAUUUUGUACAAUUAAACCUCCAUAUGAGGAUUACUCUUCUAUCAAAUUUCAUUUGAAAAUUCACACGGGAAGGUAGUUAACUAAACCAUCAAAGUUCAGGAAAUUUCCCAAGGUAAAACUGUCUUCUAGCUCUUCUUUCCUUUUUAAACAUUUUGUCCAAAGCAACCAACCCAAAUCUGGUUUAUUUGUGAAACAAAGUCCAAGGAACAUCUAAUUUAAAGUUUGGUAGAUGUCGGACAUCAAAGUUUCCAAAACAACAAGUCCCAAAUCAUUGUUAGUUACAAAUCUGCCCAAGUGGAAAAUUCUAUCACUGUAGCAGUUUCAAACUUUGGCCACAACUCACUCCAUUCAACUUGGAAUUGGGCGUGGUUGAUGGCGUUGGAAAUCUCUCUUCUAAAGCUGAAUUUUCUCAGAAGAAACCAUUUUCAAAUUCCAUUCACAAAUAGCUCGUUUUUGAGCAUCAAGAAGCAAUUUCUGUCCUGUCUCCUGGAGAGCAACGAAACAGGACAGUGAUAUUCAAUCGAAUGGUGUGGCUCACUCAAGUGGAACCAGAAUGUGAAAUUGGUACC
rnacentral:lncRNA from 1 species